GACGAACGCUGGCGGCGUGCCUAAUACAUGCAAGUAGAACGCACAGUUUAUACCGUAGCUUGCUACACCAUAGACUGUGAGUUGCGAACGGGUGAGUAACGCGUAGGUAACCUGCCUGGUAGCGGGGGAUAACUAUUGGAAACGAUAGCUAAUACCGCAUAAUAUUAAUUAUUGCAUGAUAAUUAAUUGAAAGGUGCAAUUGCACCACUACCAGAUGGACCUGCGUUGGAUUAGCUAGUAGGUGAGGUAACGGCUCACCUAGGCGACGAUACAUAGCCGAACUGAGAGGGUGGUCGGCCACACUGGGAAUGGGACACGGCCCAGACUCCUACGGGAGGCAGCAGUAGGGAAUCUUCGGCAAUGGACGAAAGUCUGACCGAGCAACGCCGCGUGAGUGAAGAAGGUUUUCGGAUCGUAAAGCUCUGUUGUAAGAGAAGAACGGGUGUGAGAGUGGAAAGUUCACACUGUGACGGUAUCUUACCAGAAAGGGACGGCUAACUACGUG
rnacentral:rRNA from 1 species